UGGCCACCCCUCCGUGAAGAUCGGUGUUCGUUUAUCUAUGGCCCGUUGAUGCAAACAGCGUCAAAAGAAUGGAUUAUUUGAUGGAAAAACAGUACAAGAACAUCAUGACCCUGAGCUGGCUGGUUGUCCAGGCACUGGAAGGACAUAAUUAUUCAGCAGAGUUUGCAUUCAAAGCCCCAAAAGAAACUCUUCGAAAGAUAUCAUGAACGACGCAAUCUUUGAUGAAAACCAUGAUGAGAUGGUGAUUGUCAAAGACAUCGAUUUGUUUUCACUCUGUGAACAUCACCUGGUGCCCUUCUUUGGCAAGAUGCAGUGGCUUCAAAACGCAAGUGAACAGUGAACAAUGCUGAUAAACCUGAUCAAAACAGCACCAGGCAAGACUGCAUUAGAACUAAAGACGACAACCCUUUUGCUAUGAGGAGGGUAAGGGAGGUGGGGGCUUUUACAAAUAUUCCCCCUCCCAGGUCCACCGCAUGGUCCAGCUGCGCUGCACUGAAACACAAUCCAGGAGCUGCCGGCACCGAAAGGCCAACUCAUUCUGGGACAGAUGUGAACACUCAAAUAUCUGUCUUCCUGGCCUCUCUCCAAGCAUCCAGACCAAUCCACUGUACAAUCACUUCACAUCACGAUCAAAUGUAGCAAGAAAUCGCACAAGCAGAGUUUUGUUCCAGUUGCUGCUGAUUUGUGUAUGGGCCAUGUGGUAAAGUAUGCAAAAGACUAGUGAAAGAGCCUGCAAGGCAUUGUGACUGAAAUCUGCAAGUCUUUUGCCGUGAAUAGAGGAGCUGUGGCUUUCUAAUUCUUCCCCCAGGGACUUGUAAGUAAACCAGUGAUUGUGUUUCCCGUAAACAGCACUGAUUUGAGUGGAGGGCAGAUGAAACUAAUCUGAUAAUGGCUCUUUAGCUUUCAGCCUAUCUUGCUAACUGAAGGAAAACUAGAGAAGAGAAAAGGAGAGGUGACAAGGAGAGGAAAGUGCAUAUACCAAUUUCCCAUGAGGAGCCAUUUCCUGAGCACAGAUUAAGCUGAAUCCCAGACGAGAAAACACUCAGAUGUUUCCAGCAGUCAGAGCAGUUGGCUUCAGCAUUAGGCUCACAGUAAGUCACUCAAAGUUUCUCCCAAUGACUGCAUCAGCUAAAUGGCUAAAUGU